AUUUUGUCGGUUGCGUAUCGACCCGCGCCUUCUGAACAAAUUAGUAUUAUUAUCUAUGGUAAUUUGUUCGUUCGGCUCGAGUUAUUACGCAUCUCGCGAAACA